CCCUCGUCUCUUUAUUCGUCCGCCGCCGUCCCAGCAUCUUCUCGCUUCUCUCUAAUCCUCUCCUUUACGCCGCGCCCGCACCCCCACUGCUCUGAUGGUUCUCCUUCCUCCACCCCAUCCCCACCUCCACGGCUGCGGCUUCUUUCUUCCCCGGCAUCUCCCGUCCUCAAUACCAUGGCCUCGGGCUGCUGCUACAGAUCCGGCGCGCACAGAUCUGGGACGAAGCUGAACCUCGACAUAGGUCUUGUCAGACCGGAGCGACCGUCGGGUAGCCGGUUACCACAAUUGCUCGGUGGAGGCCGCACCUAGUCGCCACUGGGUACCAAGUAGAGAUAAGCGCACAUGUUCGUCAACCGGCUGCAGAUGUGACCUUUAAUCAAUAUCCAUUUCAGAUGCAGGUCUUGGUGGCGCUGCUGCAUGGCGCAAAAUAGAGCUUGAGAGGGCGGGAGGCCAUGAUGGCCGUGAUGGAGCUGCUCCGUGAUCAACCAGGGGUAUUAUCAGGAUGGCCGACGACAAGAACCUAAAUAACAACCUCAAAUAGUUUGUUGGUAUAAAUAUGCUAGGUAUUGGGUAGCGGGCUACCAUCAGGAGGGCCGACGGCAAGAACCAGAAUAACAACCUCAAUCGUUUACAUGUUCUGUUGAUGUAAAUUGGACUGUGCUAGUUCCAAACCUUGCCGUGUGUUUCACAUGUGUUGCUGAGAUGUUUGAUCACAUGAAACCAAAAAAAUCUUGUCUUGUGCAAUUCCAUCAAAACAGCUUAGUGAUUGUUACUACAUGACAUACAUGUAAGUCCCCUUAGAUUCCACGUCCUACUUAAUUAAUUGGGUGCAUGAAGUAUUCUAGCUUGCAUAAACUAAGGUGACUUAGUACUAGUAUUAUGUUCAGUUGGUGUUCAUGUUUUAUGAUUUAGCUUGUACCUUAAUAACCAUGAAGUAAUUUGUAAACCAUGUAAUAAAUUAUAUUUGUAGUUCUUGUCACCUUCUAUACAAAUAUAAUGGUUUGAUUCAUUUCAUUAUUUUUCCUGUUAUAAGUAAUAGUACUCUCAAUACUGGCCAAGUGGACAUGUAAUACAUUUUUUACACUUAUUGUAUUACUCUUGUCUCUACUAUCUAUGAAUCUGCAAAAAUAUAAUGUUAUUUUAAAUAUGCUAGGUAUGAUUGGGUAGUCGGCUACAUAG